UACAGAGGUCUCAAGCGUUGUUCGGAUUCAUUGGGCGUAAAGGGUGCGUAGGCGGCGCGGUAAGUCGGGUGUGAAAUCUCGGGGCUUAACUCCGAAACUGCAUUCGAUACUGCCGUGCUUGAGGACUGGAGAGGAGACUGGAAUUUACGGUGUAGCGGUGAAAUGCGUAGAUAUCGUAAGGAAGACCAGUGGCGAAGGCGAGUCUCUGGACAGUUCCUGACGCUGAGGCACGAAGGCCAGGGGAGCAAACAGG
rnacentral:rRNA from 1 species